CCUCACCCUUCUUCCAGCUGCUUCUUAAAGCCAUUUUUAGGACAGGAGAGGACCAUUUCCGCAGACUGAAGGAGGUGCUUGUCGGUUACUUCUGCAGCAGGAGGGUUGACCCACCCUCCAUCCAUUGAGAGCUUCGAAAGCGCAACGGAUGAGUCUCUUUGGCAAGAUCUUCACAGUUUCCAAGCAGCUCUUCAUGACAUGAUCCGGAGUCUGGUUGAAUGGUCUGGAGGGUUUCUGAUAUAUCUGAAAAACCUCUUCCCAGCGAACACUUAAAUUAGCAGAGGAGCCGCUUCACAGUUUAGAUAAGAUUGAAUAAAGACAACGGAUGCUCAAGCCAUUACUAUGGAGAUUCAACAACCAGGCGUGAACAGGUCUGUAUGUGUGAUGAUACGACACAAAAGUCACAUUACAAAUGAUGCAGUCAUUGAAAUGAAGCAUUUGCUCAAUCCGAAAGUGUGAUUUCAAGAGAUCUAUUUCCAUACCUUUCGUCCACAGUGUAGCUAUCUUUACUUUUAAUCAAAACACUGAAGCCUGAAUCACCCUGACAGGGCCUGAACAACAGCAUCUAUGACAGAGAACAUUUCGGAAGAAAUCCCUUCAUUUUGUCCACAUGUCUACUUCGAAGCUGUGGGAGUCGGAGAGAUGAAGAAGGAGGAGUUGAUGGCUAUAUUGUUUCAUGCAGUGUUACAUUGUACAACAGUGGAGGGGGCGAGGAGAGGAAACUGACCAUAACCUGGAAGAGCAGAGAUGAAGGAAAAGAGCUGCUUAGGGCACGGUGCUUCUCAGGAGUAGAUAGAGUUGCUAUGAGGAAGUUUGUUCUAGUCCUUUUAAGGUUUUAGAAAAUAUUUCUACGUUGAUUUCACAGAAUUUUAUUACUGAGAGGGAUUUUAGAACUUAUUUGCCACAACUUUUUUCACUUUUUUUUAGUCAGGUAGACAGUUGAGACCCAGAAGGGUCAGCAGUUCCUCCAACUUCACAAAUUGAGUGUAACCAAGUCGCGAUUGGGUCUUUUGAUUCCCUUUCUGAUUCAGCAGUAGCUCAUUGUGGAAUCUUGAGCCUGAUACAUUGCUGGUACUCUGCAAAUAUUUGAUGAAGGAAAGAAUGAAUUCCUGAAUGACUCUGUCUCCCAUACCUUUCGUUCGUGGACCACUUUUGUACCCCCAAAUAAAGUCAAAAGAGAUCGUCGUGUGCUUUGCAGUUGGGCACAGAGAUGGAGAAAGCAAAGUUUCUAGUUCUGGAACAGAGACAUCAGAAGAAUGACCCCACUUCUUUUUAAAUUUUCUCUUUGCCAAGGGGGGAAUCAUUCAGCAGAGAUGUGUCUGCUGGGAGGGCCAGGUUCUGAAGUCAGCCACGAGAAGAAAAUCACAGAUAAUCAAAACUUCCCUUGAAGUUUUCUUAGGGAGGUACCAUGCCAAAGCCUGGUGGACUAUUUCUCAGCCAGUUUUCCCUUCAUCAUUGGAGCAGACAGCUGUUUUCUUGUUUGAGUACCAGUGAAGCAGUUAGCUUACAUUUUGAGGUCAUGUAUAUGAAAAAUGUGUAUUUUAAGCAGAAGACUACACAGGGAAGGUCCAUAGGCAUGGAGACAAACCUAGGGCAGAACAGAUUUGUUGGUCCUGUCUCAUGUUCACUCUGGGGCACCUGCUUUUUAAGACCAAUACCCAUUCCCUCUCUCUCUCUCUCUCUCUCUCUCGUAUAUUACCCAACUUACAAAAGUUUAAUGUAUGUUAGAUUUCACUCCACUGUUCUACCUAGUACAUUGGGAAAGCUGAACUAAAUACUGACCCAGUAUCUAGAAUCAAAAUCUACAUUAAAGGUAUUUAUUUUAUCUUGUGGAACUUCUUAGAUAAAGAUGAGAGGUCUAAACUCUAUAAUUAGAUAAUUUUAUUGGCAGUGAUAUGAAUUAUUAUUAUUUUGCUGUGGAGGCUUAAAAAAGAGGAAGUUUUGGUAUAGAUAUGCCUGGGAAAAGGAGAAUAUAUUAUAUGAUGACUGAAUUUAGAGAAAUUUAGAUGCAAAAGGCAAUCAGCCUCUGACACUCUUGCCCUCUUUUCCCGUCUCUGAAAAAACAAAAACAAAAUCCCUGGUUUACUCAGAGUCCCUCUUUUAAGACUUGAUUCAGACAUCCAAGCCUUCUAUCCUCAAUAGGCUGUUUGUUGCUUUUCCUGCAUCUCUCUCCCUCUUUCUUCCCUUUCUUCCUACCCAUCUCCACUCCCAAUUCUCCAUUCCCAUUCUUUCUUAUGCUGCAGCUUCACUGUGGACACAGACCACAGCGUCAGGGAGGCUUUUUUAAGAAUUUCUUAAACUUACUAAAAAGUAAUAAACUCUUGCAGACAUUACGAAGGAGGACUUUGGACAGAGAUACCUAGCUGAUUUCCUGGAACAAUAGCUGGGGAAUUAUUUUUCGGCUCCAGGAGGAUAAUAUUUUAAGUUGCUAUAUGUUUGCUGAUCCUGGGGAGAGGGUUGGAACAAUCGAGCAUGCACGGGAAGCUUGGGCUCUUGGCCCAGUCGGCUCAGAGUCUAAAUAUUUGGAGGAUGAAUACUUGAAAAUGCAUUUAAACAUUUAAAACAUUUUAUUUGUUUUUCCAGGAAGUCGCAUUGUUAAUGCGAUACAAUUCUGCAGCAGGACUCUGUCUGCGGGAGGUGUGAACCUCCUGGACAAGCCCAGGCUCAGGCUCCACCUUAGGCCUUGGUGUGAAGCCAGAGAUGUGCAUGUCUAUUGGCUAAUGUCCACGCCUGUGAAGUGGGUUAUUAUUACAAUCGCUCACCUUCAAUGCCUGUGUUCUAAAGUCAUCCUAAGGGUCUGACCCAACUCUGCACUGAAACCAAGAAUGCAACUUCACACACACACACACACACACACACACACACACACACCAUUUUCCAAAUCAAAUGCUGCAAUGUUUAUCUUCUUUUGUCAGUGCUGCCGCUUUAUUAUUAUUGCCAGCUUCCAACUCUACACAGAUGGUCAUCUGUGGUCAGUUUUCCUCUCCUGCCUACGAGGCAACAUACCUUUGGGCUGGUAUACGCUUAGAGAAUUCAAACUAAUAUGAAUGCAUUCAAUUGUGUAAAAUGUAAUUAGGAAAGCAAAUUUGUUGUAAAAGCAGCCUAUGUGUUUAUAUAACUUACAAUCAAUUAGAAGCAACUGGGCGAUUUUCAAUGUUCUUUAGACACACAGAUAUAUUCCAGGACCUCAAUUAUGUCAACUAUUUGCCUAUCUCAAUCAAAUGGUCUAGAUAAUUGCCAAAUAUCUACUUUGCUAUGCUAUCAAGUCCCAAACUCUCAUUGUCUCGGUGGAAUGGAAGUGAGAAUCACCUUCACUUCUAAAAUUUGAAGUAGAAAGCGCUGGGGAGGGCUGAGGUAGAGAGUAGCAUGGGUGUGCACCCGACCUGGUAAUUGCCAUGGUAAGGUGUCUUAGACAACAUGAUAAUAACUCUCUCGAUAGAACUGGGGAUGCGGUAGCAACAGUAAAAAUUAUAUUAAACUGGGCCCGAUGCCCAGACUAUCAGCCUCAGAUAAACAAAAUGUAAGAGAAGCAUUUCAAGAGGGGCUAACUUGUGAAUCAAGGAAGCUAAAACAGGCCAGAGAGGUGCUCGCUUGAGGAGACAAUGCUUUCACCUCCUUGAAAAAGCUGUGCCCAACCUAAUUAAAAUGCCCAAUCUAAUUAAAAACCUAACCAUAAUCUCCCCGGUGGCCCUUCACUCCACCCCUUUCCAUUGUUAAGAUGCUAAUAGGGUUGCUUAGCUGAAAAAUUAUUAAACCAGAAACUAUUUGAGCACACACGCGUAAUCCCCAGCCUAGCGAAUUGGAGCGAAGAUGCUAGUGAUUUGUACAGCGAUGGUGGUGUCUCCCUCAGCAAUGAUGUAUGACAUGGAUUAGUGCAGAGCAGCCAUCUGCUGUUGAGGAGGGUGAUAGAAUCUGUUCCACAGCGGCAGAUGACUCCCCAGUGCUGGCCAGCUGGCUCAGAGUGGACGAAGUUGGGCAGGGUAAGUGAUGCCCCAGCGACCCUCUGGGGAAAUAACUCCGGGACCUCUCCCUUAGGUGCCUAUAUUUGUCCCUGCUGGCUUCAUGCAUACACAUAUGUCAUAGAGCUGAUAUGAUGCAAUACACUUUAGAACAUGGAGAAGAAGGAAGAAGCACAUACCCACCAUAAAGUUUAAAAGUUGCUGGUCUUGAGCAUGAGAUGUGCCCUUGAGUCUCACGGUAGCCUGGACAAAAAGAGGAAACCUGAUAAAUCUUAUAGCUCAUACUAUCUGGGAAAAGAAGCAAGUCACUUUCUUAGAAGAAAUAAAGUUUUUUCUUACUUUUUCACGUUUAACUUGAUAAAGAGGAGAAAUUGAAUUUCUCAGGGUGUAUAUUAGAAAAUCAAACUGCUAGAGUGCUUGACCUAUUUACAGGGAAAGGACCAGAACAUGGAUUCCCCAGUGACUAAUGAGAAAUAGGUAGCGCUCAGCAGUUCCCUAAUAGGAUUGUGAUUUUUACCUUUUUCACUUUGCAUAUCUGUAUUUUCUAAAAUUUCCACCAUCUGGGACUUCCCUGGUGGCGCAGUGGUUGAGAAUCUGCCUGCCAAUGCAGGGAACACGGGUCCGAGCCCUGGUCCGGGAAGAUCCCACAUGCCGUGGAGCAACUAAGCCUGCGAGCCACAACUACUGAGCCUGCGCUCUAGAGCCCACGAGCCACAACUACUGAGACCAUGUGCCACAACUACUGAAGCCCACACGCCUAGAGCCCAUGCUCCACAACAAGAGAAGCCACUGCAGUGAGAAGCCUGUGCACCGCAACGAAGACGCAACGCAGCCAAAAAUUAAAAAAACAAACAGAAACAAAUAAAAUAAAAUUUCCACCAUGAACAUGCAUGACACUGUCAUAUAAAUGUGCUGGUUCUGGGUCUGCUUGACCUGAGGUCCAUUCCUCACUCUUCCUUCCCUGGCUGUGUAUUCAGGGGGCCUGACCCCUCUAGGCCAAUGUUCUUAGACCCCAUGUCAGCAGGCUCCCAACUGGGUUUGGCCCAUGGAGGCUCUAGUGGGAGUUUGGAGAACAGGAGGGAGGUUGAAGUUAGGGUAUUUCUCCCUCUCUCUCAGUCCUGGGUGGUAUCUCUGGCAGCUGCUGCCUCUCUUCCUUGGUUCCAUCUCUCACAGGAAACCUGCCAUAGUUCCUGCUUCCUCUGGGUAAUCCCAGGCCCAGGGCUCGGGUAGCAUCACCUCCUCCCUUUGUCCCUCCAGCCUGGGAGUGGUGGCGACUUCCUGCUGUGGCUAGACUCUGGAUUGCCUCACCAUCCCUUGUUUGGCUUUUAAGUUUCUUUCAUCUCAUUGCACUAAACUUCCUCUGUUCUAAAUAUUCAGAGUGGUUUCUGUCUUCCUGAUUGGGCCCUGACACAAAGAAACAAAAAUGUAUUUGAAACAAAAAUGAACGGGGCAAAAGAAUUUAGAGGAACUUGAGCUGGAGAAGUAACUGAAGAAGCAAAAGCCGAUAGAUCAUGGCAGCACACACAAAGCAAAGUCUGGGCUUGGUGCACACCAGCUGGAAAGGACUUCCGGUCACGUACGGGCCUUUUUAGGCACAUUUACGCACACGAAUUACAAUUUUACUUAGAGUUGUCAGCUCCAGAAGUGAAGGAUAACAAUAUGUCAGUUAUAGAGAAAAAACAAACAACCCCCCUCUCAACCCCCAUAAGAUUUGGAGUCCUACGUCGUUCACGUCCCAUAGAAUUCAAUUCCUGGCUUGUGGUGGAUACUGUGGUUGACUCUGCAGCCUCCAUUCCACCCCUCCCACAUGGCAUAGCAGCUGUGGGGUUUGGAGGGGACUGAUCCAACCUCUAGCUUCUGGGUUGUGGUCUUGGUUGACAUGGUCACUGGAUCAUGUACCCCAGGCCUCAGCCAAUCAGUACCUGGUAUUCCCCUGGCCACUGGCAACAAAAUGAAGCCGGGGUCUCAUGUUUGAUGAUUGGAGAAAGAAAAGUUCUUUCUCCUUCUAGAUAGUGUGGUGGGCCCUGAAACUGCUCCAGCAUUUUGCUACUAAAUGGAAAAAGAGACUCAGAAUAGAGCUGACACAAAAAGAAGGGUAAAUCCAACACAAUCAAAAUAAAACAGCUGGAUUUCUGAUCAAACUGUGCCUGAAGCCCACCGCACCACUGAACUUUUUCUGUUCUAGAGUUUCUCUAUUCUAUUUACUGUUUAGUACAUUUUGAUUUGGAUCUUAUGUUACUUGCAACCAAAAACAUGCUAGAUGAGACAUAGAAAUAUUGUCUUAUUGACUGUGUGGCCUUGGGCCAGUCACUGAAUCUUUCUGACCUUCAGUUUCCUCAUCUAUAAAAUGGAACUAUAAGUUGAUUUAUCUUAAGGAAUUUUUGUGAGGAUCAAAUGAGGUAAUAAAUGAGAAGGUGCUUUGUAAAUUGUAAGCAGUUAUUUGAAUCUUCUUAUCACAUGUAUAAUUUCUUUCAAUUGUUAAUGCAGUUUUAUAUCUCUCCUACAUAUAAAUAAUUAAUUUUAGCAAGCAUAAAUUUCUGUAAUAAUUACUCCAUUGCUGUGAGCGUUCAUCAGGAUUAAUCAGUAAUACCCAUAUUUCACUCUGUGUAGCCCUAAAUAAUUUACUUUUGAAAUCCCGGUUGACCUAUGUAAUCUUGAAAGGAUUUACCCCAAAACUCUCAGCCAAGUGGACAUGAGUUGACUAACUCCUCUGCGUGACCACGCAUCACUCACUUGUAAAACGUGUGCUUUUCAUUGCCAUCUGGAGCAACCCGUGAAAAGUGGGUGUGCAGCAUUCCUCUCACAGCGUGAAAGUUCGGGCACAUCCAAAAAGGUCCAGCUGGUCAGCUCUGCCCUUGCAUUUUCUUGGAGUUGCUGCCCUGAGGCUGUUUGGUAACCUGAGAGAGUGGUUUACACAUGAAUCUUUGAAAGGGCUGCAAAACGAAGAGCGCCCAGGGGAACAACACAUAGUGUUUAGGUUUUUGUAAUAACAAAAUAUUAAGGGUAAUUAAUUGAUCAAACCUAAUUAGAUAAGGUGUCUAACAUUUAGGGCAAUGAAAAUAAAAGUACACAAGAAGUAUGCUUUAUGUUUUUCUUCCAAUAAUUGGCAUAUCUUAGGACAGGACCUGGGAUGACCUUGCUGACUAUGGUGGGUCAGGGCAGACAAAGAAUGACUGGGACUAAGAACUUGACCCUCCCAUGGGGCUGGGACAAGCCCAGAGGACAAGACCUGCAAGUUCAGCCUUGAUUUUUCUCACCAAGCACUGUUGAUUCUACCUCCCAACCAGACUUCCCAUCUCCCCCUUCUCUGUCUGCCUUGCCACUGAGUUGGGUCAGGUCCUCAUUACAUGUCUCCUGGGCUAGUCUCUCUGCCCCCAGCCUCAACCCAUCUCUAUUCAUCCUCCACCCUGCUAUAGGAAUCAUCUUUUAAAAUUACACUAUGCUGCCCCACCCCCUUCCUCCCUUAAAACUUUUCACUGGCUCCCUAUGGCUGAUCCUAUAAAGCC